AUACCCCCGAACCGUCUUGGUUAACCCGUGCCUCCGGGGUCGGGUUAUGAAAAGGGAACACGGUCCGGCCAGAAGGCCAAAUCCGUGGCUGCCCCCGCAACUGUAGGCGGAGAGCGCGGCUGUUACAUGCCACUGGACCGACGCGUCCGGGAAGGCCAGCCAAGCGACGACCCGCAAGCCAGGAGACCUGCCAGGACGAUCACCCAGCC
rnacentral:ncRNA from 2 species